GGCGAAGGAGGGGGAGGUGACGGCGGCGAUGGGCUGGGCGGAGGCGGGCUGGGCGGCGGGGGAGACGGCGGCGGAGGCGAUGGAGGGGGAGGCGAAGGGGGAGGCGGCGACGGAGGCGGAGGGCUGGGCGGAGGCGGGCUCGGGGGCUCAGGUGACGGAGGCUCGGGUGAAGGUGGCAGCGGCGACGGGGGGGUGGGGGAGGGCGGAGGCGAAGGAGGAAUGGGAGGAGAGGGAGGAAUCGGCUCCGGGGGCGGUGAGGGCGGUACGGGCGGGUUCGGGGGAGGAGGUGGAGAGGGAGGACGAGGCGACGGGGGAGGAGGCGAGGGCGAGGGAGGCGGAGGCAAGGGAGGAGAAGGGCUGGGAGGCAGCGGCGACGGCGGCAGGGGGCUCGGAGGAGGAGGGCUGGGAGGGG
rnacentral:lncRNA from 1 species